AGGAUGGGGUUCCUCACCACCUGAAACUGAAAUUACCAUAUAAUCCAGCAAUGCCACUUCUGGUUAUAGAUGCAAAAGAAUUAGAAGCCGAGUCUCAGAGAUAUUUGCACGCCCGUGUUCACAGCAGCAUUAUUCACAAUAGUGAGAAGGUAGAUGCCACCCAGUGUCCGCGGAUAAACAAAAUGAGCAUUGCAAUCAGCCCUGGAAGCCCCAGGGCCUCAGUGGAAGGGAGCAGAGAGGCAGCAGUCAAAGGGCAGAGAGCACUGAACCCAGUCCUUCCUGCUUGUCCUCACUCGCCUCCAGCACCCUCUCCCGGUUCCUGCAAGGGUCCAGUGAGUUCACCUUGACAAUGGGAAGACCAUCACCAGAGAUGGCAUCAGAUCCACAGGUUAGGGGCUCAGUCCUGAACUGCUGGGGGUGGCUCCAGGAAGCCCUUCGAGGGCCAAGGAUACAAAUCCGGAGGCCACUGGAGCCUGGCUGGAGGCCAACAGACCUAGGUCAGCUCGCUUCCUGCUGUGGCUGGAAGAGGCGUCCCUCUUCCCCUGCAUAGGGAGGAGCUCAUCCUUCAGGAAUGAGGCUUGCCCUGAAAUCGCCAGCUCCCUGCCCACAUCUGUAAAAUGAGGAAAUCCCACUGGGUGAGCUAGGGUCCUUUUCUUGGCUGCGACUCCAUGAUUCUUAGAACCUAACAUUCCAUGAUUCGGAGAUUCUGGGGGCUGAAAAACCUCCAUUAUUUUGCGUCCUUGACUAUGGCUUUGGAUCCAAGCCUUAUUCUCUCCCAUGGAUCUUUCCAGACCCCCACUUGCACCCAAGAAGGCCAUCCACACAAAAUGAGACUUGGUCUCUUCCUGGCUGUCUCAUGAGGCGGACUGCAAAUGCGUGCAUUUGCAUACCCACCACUGGGAGGCACGGGGGGGGGGGGGGGGGGGGGGCGGGGCCUGUCCUUUAUCUUGUUUUCUCCUUGGCCAUUCCCUCCUGGCACCAUGAACCCUUGUUGGCCCCACACAACCUAAAUUCCACAGCCCACAGUAUGUGAGGCUCCAAUCUGGAGAGAGGUAGAAUGUGUUUUUUGCCGGAACUCCAGAGAAGUUGGGGUAGGCCUGGCACAGGACUAGACUCAGUCCCCGGGCAAGGCACAUUUUGAGGCAGGAGGGCGGGCUCGUGGGAACUGGUGGCAGAGAUGCAGAGCUGGGAGGGGCCAGAGGGGCCAGAAGGAAUUUAAUUUAGCUAUUGCCCCCUGCUAUGCCCCAAGACACCCCCCCCCCAUACACACCUUAAGUCCCUGUGACCCCAUCAGUAAGGAUAACGCUGCUCACUCUUCCUGUCUGUGGGUCCUGUCCAACGUGGUUCUCAGGAACUGCUGGCAGAAAGAGGCGCAUGGUUCUGCCCAGAGAAGACCAACCCCGGCUGCCGGGAUAUCCCACACUGCCCGAUGUCUCAGGUUCUGGACCCUCGUUCUAGAUGGUAAAAUUCCACGGGAAAGAAAAAGUUCUUAAAACCUGGAUUGACUCAAAUGGCUCCUGCUCAUUCGCUACAGGAGGACCUGAAUUGUAAUUUGCACAGAAAAGCAAGACCCUGGGGCUCCUAUGACACCUGGGAAGAGGAGAGAAACUUCCAGCAAGGAAGAGCUGGGGGCUAGAAGUCAUAAUAAUUUGAUCACAGCAGACAUUUGACUUUACCCUUAGCCUGAGCUCGCUGUCAAUGACACCCACAGUUUAUAGGCAAUGACAAAGGCCAUCUCUCCUCCACUUCCUACCGGCUCUGUGAUAAUGGCUUUCUGUGCGUAGGUUAAUCCUUUUAAUAACUGCAGUAGGGUCAGUCUGCUGUUGUCCCUGUUUUACCAAUGAGAACACAGAGACUUAGAGAAGUCAGUGAUGUCCCCAAGGCCACAGAUUCAGCAAAUGACAGAGCUGGGGCCUGAGCAAGGCUGUCUGGGUUCUGAGGACAGAAUUUUUUUUUUUUUUAAGAUUGUAUUUAUUUGGGAGACAGAGAGAGAGAAUGAGAGCAUGAACGGA